AGUGAACGCUGGCGGUAGGCCUAACACAUGCAAGUCGAACGGCAGCACAGUAAGAGCUUGCUCUUACGGGUGGCGAGUGGCGGACGGGUGAGGAAUACAUCGGAAUCUACUUUUUCGUGGGGGAUAACGUAGGGAAACUUACGCUAAUACCGCAUCCGACCUACGGGGGAAAGCAGUGGAUCUUCGGACCUUGCGCGAUUGAAUGAGCCGAUGUCGGAUUAGCUAGUUGGCGGGGUAAAGGCCCACCAAGGCGACGAUCCGUAGCUGGUCUGAGAGGAUGAUAAGCGACACUGGAACUGAGACACGGUCCAGACUCCUACGGGAGGCAGCAGUGGCGAACAUUGGACAAUGGGCGGAAGCCUGAUCCAGCCAUACGGCGUGGGUGAAGAAGGCCUUCGGGUUGUAAAGCCCUUUUGUUGGGAAAGAAAAGCAGCAGGUUAAUACCCCGCUGUUCUGACGGUACCCAAAGAAUAAGCACCGGCUAACUUCGUG
rnacentral:rRNA from 1 species